rnacentral:rRNA from 1 species
AUUGAACGCUGGCGGCAUGCUUUACACAUGCAAGUCGAACGGCAGCGCGGGGGCAACCCUGGCGGCGAGUGGCGAACGGGUGAGUAAUGUAUCGGAACGUAUCCUGUAAUGGGGGAUAACCAGUCGAAAGAUUGGGUAAUACCGCAUACGCACGAGAGUGGAAAGUAGGGGAUCGCAAGACCUUACGUUAUAGGAGCGGCCGGUAUCUGAUUAGCUAGUUGGUGGGUAAAGCCUACCAAGGCGACGAUCAGUAGCUGGUCUGAGAGGACGACCAGCCACACUGGGACUGAGACACGGCCCAGACCCUACGGA